rnacentral:rRNA from 1 species
UAAUACGAAGGGGGCUAGCGUUGUUCGGAAUUACUGGGCGUAAAGCGCACGUAGGCGGAUUUUUAAGUCAGGUGUGAAAUCCCGGGGCUCAACCUCGGAACUGCAUUUGAAACUGGAAGUCUUGAGACCAGGAGAGGUUAGCGGAAUACCGAGUGUAGAGGUGAAAUUCGUAGAUAUUCGGUGGAACACCAGUGGCGAAGGCGGCUAACUGGACUGGUACUGACGCUGAGGUGCGAAAGUGUGGGGAGCAAACAGG